rnacentral:misc_RNA from 1 species
UCACUAAUCAAGCCUGGCUUGCCGUUGGACCUCUUGUCGUGAAAAGACAGGUCCCAAAGAUAAUGACGGUGUUAUUAGAACCCUAGAUGCAACGAGCUUUAACUAGCACGCAUGAUAGUGGCCUUUUAACCCGGUCUUUUUAACCAAUUUUUAAA